CUCCCCAGGCGGAGUGCUUAAUGCGUUAGCUACGGCACUAAACCCCGGAAAGGGUCUAACACCUAGCACUCAUCGUUUACAGCGUGGACUACCAGGGUAUCUAAUCCUGUUUGCUCCCCACGCUUUCGAGCCUCAGCGUCAGUUACAAGCCAGAGAGCCGCUUUCGCCACUGGUGUUCCUCCAUAUAUCUACGCAUUUCACCGCUACACAUGGAAUUCCACUCUCCCCUCUUGCACUCAAGUUAAACAGUUUCCAAAGCCUACUAUGGUUAAGCCACAGCCUUUAACUUCAGACUUAUCUAACCGCCUGCGCUCGCUUUACGCCCAAUAAAUCCGGACAACGCUCGGGACCUACGUAUUACCGCGGCUGCUGGCACGUAGUUAGCCGUCCCUUUCUGGUAAGAUACCGUCACAGUGUGAACUUUCCACUCUCACACUCGUUCUUCUCUUACAACAGAGCUUUACGAUCCGAAAACCUUCUUCACUCACGCGGCGUUGCUCGGUCAGACUUCCGUCCAUUGCCGAAGAUUCCCUACUGCUGCCUCCCGUAGGA
rnacentral:rRNA from 1 species